GUUUCAGGUCGGCCUCUGAAAAACAAUUAUGCUGACAAUCACUUAUGGAGACUCUGCCAUAUGCUGGGAGCUUUACAUCAGUGGUUAGAAUCUUCGCAACAGACCUACAGAGUAGGCGCUGGUGGCAGUGGAUAUCUGAGGAGUCACCAUCCUGAAAUGUUUGAGGCUUAGAGGAGACAGGACUUCUGUCCAGACUACCAAAGACUCUCUUGGAUAGACUUGGUGAGGAGAGAUGCAGGGGGAGAGAGACAAUCAUGAGGUCAGAGGACCCCAGGGAAGACAGACAAGACUUCAGGGCCAGGAAUGAGAGAAAUGUGAGCAAAGGGCCA
rnacentral:lncRNA from 1 species